rnacentral:rRNA from 1 species
UACGGAGGGUGCAAGCGUUAAUCGGAAUUACUGGGCGUAAAGCGCGCGUAGGUGGUUUGAUAAGCGGAGAUGAGAACCCCGGGCUUAACCUGGGAACGGCAUUUCGAACUGUCAGGCUAGAGUAUGGUAGAGGUGUGUGGAAUUUCCUGUGUAGCGGUGAAAUGCGUAGAUAUAGGAAGGAACACCAGUGGCGAAGGCGGCAUACCUGGACCAAUACUGACACUGAGGUGCGAAAGCGUGGGGAGCAAACAGGAUUAGAUACCCGGUAGUCC